rnacentral:lncRNA from 1 species
GUUUUCUAGCUGCAGUUGUCAAGAAGGGCUCUGGGCUGAAACUUGAAUGAAUUGAGGGAGAGAACCAUGUAAUCCCUUAUGCGUGAGUGUGUGUGUGUGUGUGUGUCUGUCUGUGUGUGCAUGCAUGUAUUCGUAGGGGGAUAAUGUGGCUAAAUUAGAGCAAGAGGAGUGUGGAUAAAGAGAAGUAGCCAAGGUCCAGGUUCUGCAGUGAUAAGAGCAGACAUUUUUAGGUUUGGAGAGAAGUUUAUUUCACUUUUCUCCCCAAAGGAGCUGCUCUUGAAUGUGCAUGGACACCUUUUCCCUGCCUAGAGAUACUACCUGAAUUUAUGAAGAAAAGAGUUCUAAUUGACUCAUGGUUCUACAUGGCUGGGUAGGCCUCAGGAAACUUACAAUCAUGGCAGAAGGUGAAGGGGAAGCAGGCAGGAGAAAAAGAGAACUUAGUGAAGAAAGCAAGAGGGCUAUAGCUAUAGCUACAGCUACAUGACAGAAGAAAGUGCUUUAAAAAGAUACCACUCACACGGAAAAGAAAUGUGCUCUUGGAGGAAGACACUCUGUCAACCCAUAUAGAUUGUUUAAGAUUUGAUUAUGAACAUAAAAGGAUACUUGAUUAUAGUAUAAUCUCUCAGUAAAAAGCCCUUCUAUGUGAAUUGGAGAAUGACUUAAAUUUUCUACCAGGGACACUGAAGUUGAAGCAUAAGAUGAAGAAAGAUGAGGAACUGAUAAGUUAAACCAUGAUCUCUGCCACAAAACAGAGAAGGCUAAGGAUAAGAAUGAAUUUGAUGUGAUAAAAACAAACUCACAAAAGACUUGAAGUUUCUCUCUGAAACUAAUAGGAACCCUUGCCUACUCUACUUAUCUAGCUAUAAUUACAUAAACAUUUCCAAAGCAAUUGUGAUAAGCUGUGAAAUUCACCAAAGACAUUUUCCCACGAUUAUCAAGAGGUAAACACUGUUUUUAUUUUGUGACAUCUCUUAUAAACUAAAUACAUACAUAGCUCCAUAAAAUGUAGAAAAGGAGGGUGAAAGAUGUAAAAAGCAUAAUGAUUGCUUUCAACAGAAGAAAAAAUUCUUAAAAUAAAGCCCUCUUACAGGCUCAAUUUAAAUUCCGUAAUUACUUAUUGAACACGUACUAUAUGAAAUGCACAGAAUAAGGUCAAGCAUAAAAAUCUUAUGUAUGUUCUCUGGCUUCCAAGUUGCACAAAAUCUUACAGGGCAGAGGAGCCAAAUAAAGAACUAUCUUGCAAGGAGAAGGGUGAUAAUGCUACACAAGUCCUUGUAUGCCUCAUAGAAGUGAAUUUACUCAAAGAAUACCAAAUCUUUGUAGACAAGUUCUAGCUUUUGAAUUUGCUGAACUAUGUGUUGUCCUGGUAACACAAUUGAAUCCACUUCUUUAUUUAAAUCUCCACUGAACUGAAUGCAUUUCAGUGAAAAUCUAUUCUUUCUUUCUUUCUUUCUUUCUUUCUUUCUUUCUUUCUUUCUUUCUUUCUUUCUUUCUCUUUCUCUUUCUUUCUUUCUCUCUCUCUCUCUCUUUUUUUUUCUGUAUCUCUAGUGCCACUCAGGGCUAAAGUAUGAAAUAGGAGCACAAUACAUUAUUUGUUGAGCUGAAAUAAAACAGAGAGUGACAGCUCUUAAGAUAACUUUAAACCAAAACUAAAAUUCUAAUGUGUCCCCAAACCAGCCAUCUGAAUGGACCUCUCUUCUUGGCUGAGGACAUUCCAAAAUGAGUUCAGGCCAUGUCAGGAAAGAAAGGUUGGACAUUGCUCAUUAUACUCUCCUCCCUUUGGGAAUUCAGGAAAAGCCAACUAGUAUUUAACAUCAACACAGACCUUAAGUCUGAUAAGAAACAUUUAUAAUCUAUCCUCUCUGAAGCCUGUUGCCUGGACGCUUCACCUGCAUGAUAAAACUUUGCUCGCCACAACCCCUUAUCAUUGUAACACGGACAUUUCUUUCUAUUGAUUCCAGGUCUUUAGAUAAUAAAUGAACUCUUUCAACCAAUUGCCAAUCAGAAAAAAUUUAAGUUUACCUAUAACCUGGAAGCCCCCACUUCAAGUUGUCCUGCUUUUCCAAACAGAACCAAUGUAUAUCUUACAUGUAUUUGAUUAUUGUCUCAUGGCUCCCUUAAACAUAUAGAACUAGGCUAUACUCCAACCACCUUGGACACAUGUUCUCAGGGUAUCCUGAAGGCUGUGUCAUGGGUCACUGGACACUCAUAUUUGGCUGAGAAUAAAUCUCCUCAAAUAUUUUUUAGAGUUUGACUCUUUUUGUCGAUAGAACAGUAACAAUUGCCUAUUUUUCUAUCCUGUUCUUUUUUUUGUUUUGUUUUGUUUUUCCGAGACGGAGUCUCGCUCUGUCGCCCGGGCUGGAGUGCAGUGGCGCGAUCUCUGCUCACUGUAAGCUCCGCCUUCCGGGUUCACGCCAUUUUCCUGCCUCAGCCUUCCGAGUAGCUGGGACUACAGGCGCCCGCCACCAUGCCCAGAUAAUUUUUUUGUAUUUUUAGUCACGCCCGGCUAAUUUUUUUGUAUUUUUAGUAGAGAUAGGGUUUCACCGUGUUAGCCAGGAUGGUCUUGAUUUCCUGACCUAUUGAUCCGCCCACCUUGGUCUCCUAAAGUGCUGGGAUUACAGGCUUGAGCCUCCGGGCCCGGCCUUUUCUAUCCUGUUCUUAAUACCAGAUUGACACACAGCUGAUGCUAAGAUAUGUGGUUUAUAAUGAUUUCUUUCCGUCUCUCUAAUUCUGACAUAGCUUUUUAAAAAUGCUUAUCUAAAGGUUAAUAAUUUCAUUGAAACCACAGCCUAGAUGCUGGGGUCAUUGAUAAGUAUUUGUGUUUGAUUAUUAUUUUUAAAAUUAUCAUUUAGUAAAAUUGACAUUUUUAUUGUGUGGUGUAAAGAUUUAUGAAUUUUAACAUGUUUGGGUUGGUGUAACCACCACUACAAUUAGCACACAGAAUAGUUCUAUCAGUGCAAAAAGCUCUCUCAUGGUAUCCUUUGUAGCCAUUUCCUCCCCUACCGAUAAUCUCUGACAACCAGUGAUCUGUUCUCUAGAAUGUCCAAUCUUUGGUAGUAAUGGGAAUUUUAGUUCAUUUUCCAAAAAGUGUCUUAUGUUGUAAUAGUUGGAACUCAUGCAUUUAGGUAAGAAAAAACAUAUUAUGUCUUUAAAUAAUGCAUUUAAAAAUAAACGUUAGUAACUGUAUCUUUUUCAAAUGUGUUUUUUCUCUAUGUCGCUGGGUUUUUUGGUUUUAUGGUCCAUGAAAGAGAACAGAAAUGAAGAAGACACAUACACACGCAUUUCCACUCAUUAUUUCCCCUGCCUUAAAAUUAUUAACUUGGUCCUUCCUCAAAAUAUUUAUACUUUAAUUAAAAUGGCUGAAGGCAAAUCUAAUUUUUAUAGGUGAUCACUCCUCACUGAUCUCCCAUUAUAGGUACAGUUGCUAUAAUUACUCCUGAAUUAAAGAAACAUAUAACUUCACAAUAUAAAAUGUCUCCCACAACCAUGCAUUCCCUUCUCCCA